CUGCCAAUGCCAAACUGACAUCACUAAAAUUCCUUUUGACCAUUUCACUCCAUGGGUGUAUUUCCAGUAAUGGGUAGAAAGAAGACAUAAAAAAAGCAAAUCCAGGCACAUGAAUUUUAUAGAGACAUAGUGAAAUUCAUUACCAUCGAGGAACAAGAGAGUUACAGUUAAAAGUAAGCCGUAUUUUUGACUGAAUCUAUGAAUAAAAGGUAAACUUUUCAGUAUUUUCAAUAUGAAGGGAUAAUUACCUUGUAAGUACAAUCAAGUCUAGUUACUGUCAAGAUCUGAUUAUUAAAUUGUAAACUAAAAUAAAGAGAAUUGUAACCCUGAGUCCUAUUUACAUUAUUUGCUCAUAGAAUCAGCCCAGAUAUUCCAUGAACAAUUGAAAAGUCAUCACUAAACAAUGCAGAGGGGAAGAAAAAAAUACAAGUUUUUAGUUACUUGAAUUAGUAAGGCUGCCUUUUUGAUUAUUUUUUAAUGCAGUUAACAUUUUCAUCAGAAUUUAAAGCCAUUCCCAUUCAAGAUAUUCCUGGGGUUUUUGCACAUACCUCCCCUCCUGUCUUU